rnacentral:rRNA from 1 species
UGCCAGCAGCCGCGGUAAUACGGGGGGUGCGAGCGUUACUCGGAAUCACUGGGCGUAAAGAGCGUGUAGGCUGGAUAAUAAGUCAGGAGUGAAAUCCUAUAGCUUAACUAUAGAACUGCUUUUGAAACUGUUAACCUAGAAUAUGGGAGAGGUAGAUGGAAUUUCUGGUGUAGGGGUAAAAUCCGUAGAGAUCAGAAGGAAUACCGAUUGCGAAGGCGAUUUACUGGAACAUAACUGACGCUGAGAUGCGAAAGCGUGGGGAGCAAACAGGAUUAGAUA